rnacentral:rRNA from 1 species
CAGCCGUAAACAAUGUGCGUUAGGUGUGUCGGUAACCACGUGUUACUGAUGCGCCGAAGAGAAAUCGUGAAACGCACCACCUGGGAAGUACGGUCGCAAGGCUGAAACUUAAAGGAAUUGGCGGGGGAGCACCACAACAGGUGGGCCUGCAGUUUAAUUGGACUCAACGCCGGACAACUCACCGGAUAGGACAGCAGAAUGAUUGCCGGGCUGAAGACCCUGCAUGACUAGCUGAGAGGAGGUGCAUGGCGUAGACGUCU